rnacentral:ribozyme from 1 species
UGCCCAGCAACUCCUAUCCCUACCUCCUCGCGGUACUGGCCGGGGUACGAGUAACCUUAGGGAAGAUCGGGUAACCAAACCCCCGGUGGGAACUUUGGUCGUAUGCUGACAGGGAAGG